GAUGAACGCUGGCGGCGUGCCUAAUACAUGCAAGUCGAGCGAACAGACGAGGAGCUUGCUCCUCUGACGUUAGCGGCGGACGGGUGUGUAACACGUGGAUAACCUACCUAUAAGACUGGGAUAACUUCGGGAAACCGGAGCUAAUACCGGAUAAUAUAUUGAACCGCAAGGUUCAAUAGUGAAAGACGGUUUUGCUGUCACUUAUAGAUGGAUCCGCGCCGCAUUAGCUAGUUGGUAAGGUAACGGCUUACCAAGGCGACGAUGCGUAGCCGACCUGAGAGGGUGAUCGGCCACACUGGAACUGAGACACGGUCCAGACUCCUACGGGAGGCAGCAGUAGGGAAUCUUCCGCAAUGGGCGAAAGCCUGACGGAGCAACGCCGCGUGAGUGAUGAAGGUCUUCGGAUCGUAAAACUCUGUUAUUAGGGAAGAACAAAUGUGUAAGUAACUAUGCACGUCUUGACGGUACCUAAUCAGAAAGCCACGGCUAACUACGUG
rnacentral:rRNA from 1 species